UUAAAUAGUUGCAGCGUUAUUUCUAUUGCUAAUGGCAUCUCUUUCUUCAUUAGAAUGUCACCUCUCAGUGGUCAGGGUGUUUGCUGUUUUGUUCCAUGCAAUCCCAUUGCCAGGAACAGUAUCCAGCACAUAGUGGGUGCUCACUAAGCAUUUGGUGUGUAAACCCUGCAGUUCAUUCUGCAAGUCAUUCGUCACUGCUCCUGUUCUCCCGGCCUCAAAGCCCCUCCAGCUUGCUUGUAGCCUUCACUUUCCCUAUCUGAAAUCAGGAAGAGUAGCAGCGUCCUGUUUUACAGCCUGCCUGGGGCCUUGGGUUAGACCACAGUGCCAGGUUUGCAGGGAUCAUGUUUAACAUAGGAAGCUUCCUGCAGGGGCCUGGAUCUUGGAAUUUAUUAUCCAACUGGAGUCCUGCCAUGGAGCUUGACCUGCUUGUGCCUGGUUUGCAUGGAGCCUGAGACACUUUCCCCUUCCAGAAUUCUUCUGACUCUCCCUUCCCCAAGUGUGGGGCAUAAAGUAUUCUGGGAAUGUUGAUUAAAUGAGUGAAAACAUGGCUGUUAUGAAGAAAACCCAACUAAAUAAAAAAAAAAAAAAA